UACGUAGGCAGCGAGCGUUGUUCGGAGUUACUGGGCGUAAAGGGUGCGUAGGCGGUUGGUUAAGUUUGGUGUGAAAUCUCCAGGCUCAACUGGGAGGGUGCGCCGAAUACUGAAUGACUAGAGUGCGGGAGAGGAGAGUGGAAUUCCUGGUGUAGCGGUGAAAUGCGUAGAUAUCAGGAGGAACACCGGUGGUGUAGACGGCUCUCUGGACCGUAACUGACGCUGAGGCACGAAAGCGUGGGUAGCAAACAGG
rnacentral:rRNA from 1 species